rnacentral:rRNA from 1 species
CGCCUGGGGAGUGCGGCCGCAAGGUUAAAACUCAAAUGAAUUGACGGGGGCCCGCACAAGCGGUGGAGCAUGUGGUUUAAUUCGACGCAACGCGAAGAACCUUACCUGGCCUUGACAUCCAGAGAGCUUUCCAGAGAUGGAUUGGUGCCUUCGGGAACUCUGAGACAGGUGCUGCAUGGCCGUCGUCAGCUCGUGUCGUGAGAUGUUGGGUUAAGUCCCGUAACGAGCGCAACCCCUAUCCCUGGUUGCUAGCAGGUAAUGCUGAGAACUCCAGGGGGACUGCCGGUGACAAACCGGAGGAAGGUGGGGAUGACGUCAGGUCAUCAUGGCCCUUACGGCCAGGGCUACACACGUGCUACAAUGGCGCGUACAGAGGGCUGCCAACUCGCGAGAGUGAGCCAAUCCCUUAAAACGCGUCGUAGUCCGGAUCGGAGUCUGCAACUCGACUCCGUGAAGUCGGAAUCGCUAGUAAUCGCGAAUCAGAAUGUCGCGGUGAAUACGUUCCCGGGCCUUGUACACACCGCCCGUCACACCAUGGGAGUGGAUUGCACCAGAAGUAGUUAGUCUAACCUUCGGGAGGACGAUUACCACGGUGUGGUUCAUGACUGGGGGUAAGUCGUAACAAGGUAACCGUA